rnacentral:rRNA from 1 species
CCUACGGGUGGCAGCAGUGAGGAAUAUUGGUCAAUGGGCGAGAGCCUGAACCAGCCAAGUCGCGUGAAGGAUGACGGCCCUACGGGUUGUAAACUUCUUUUGUCAGGGAGCAAUUGAGGCCACGUGUGGUCUUAGCGAGAGCCCCUGAAGAAAAAGCAUCGGCAAACUCGGUGCCAGCAGCCGCGGUAAUACGGAGGAUGCGAGCUUUAGCCGGAUUUAUGGGGUUUAAAGGGUGCGUGGGCGGAUUUCCAAGUCAGCGGUAAAAUUUCGGGGCUCAACCCCGUCGUGCCGUUGAAACUGGUGUUCUUGAGUGGGCGAGAGGUAUGCAGAAUGCGUGGUGUAGCGGUGAAAUGCAUAGAUAUCACGCAGAACUCCGAUUGCGAAGGCAGCAUACCGGCGCCCAACUGACGCUGAGGCACGAAAGCGUGGGUAUCGAACAGGAUUAGAUACCCGGGUAGUC